UACGUAGGGGGCUAGCGUUGUCCGGAAUCAUUGGGCGUAAAGCGCGUGUAGGCGGUCCGGUAAGUCCGCUGUGAAAGUCGGGGGCUCAACCCUCGAAUGCCGGUGGAUACUGUCGGGCUAGAGUGCGGAAGAGGCGAAGUGGAAUUCCUGGUGUAGGCGGUGAAAGUGACGCAGAUAUCAGGAGGAACACCGAUUGCGAAGGCAGCUCGCUGGGACGUUACUGACGCUGAGACGCGAAAGCGUGGGGAGCAAACAGG
rnacentral:rRNA from 1 species